UCUAUUAUUCAGGAUGUACAAUGGACGCUGGUUUAACGUAAUACAGUCUGUCAACAGAUUAUCUAGUAUAGGUACCUCUUUAGACAUGAUUCUACCGGCUCAACGCGUUCUCAUGAGUCUUCUUCGUUCCGUUUCUCUGAAUGCAUUAUUUUUUCAGACGAUGAUGAUAGUAUAAGGAAUAGACACUAAGAGUCUCGAAUAUACAAGAAACUGCAGCUGGGGACUUACAGCUGGGUGCUUACGUACUCUCAUAUUGUUCAACUUAAUUUCACCGUAGCUUUUGAAAGAUUAUCUUGCACAUUUUCUUAUCAGGAAACAAAGAUUCACGGUUCACGUGCCUCUUCGACUCGCUUGUUUGAUUCAUUUUGAUAUUGAGCACAAUCAUCACAUCCGAUAACUCAAGUUCAUAUCAAGUUAGUCAGCUUCUUCAAGCUGUUAAAGUUAGAAGUAAAAAAACUUUUGAUAACAAAAAUUUUCUCUUAUCUUACUAAUCUCAUCUACGACACUCGACACUUUGAUGUAAGUUGACUUACUUUAAUUUGAGAUGGCAAGUAUUUUAAUUUGAGAUGGCGAAAUUUGUGUAAAUAAUUCAUCACUUUAAGCAUACUACAAUAAUUUAAAGUCUGCCUUUGCUUUCGGGAUCGGGAUAAUGAUAGUACCACCUUACAUUUAGUCGAUUUGUACACAUAAGUACUAUAACAUGAUCAUAAAGCGAUAAAGAUACAACAAGCUCGGCGCUCGUAUAAUCAGUUUUGACUUCCGUUCCACGUGCAUCCAACGUGUCGUUGAUUUAAUUCUUCCAGGUAUCGAACUUCGCAUUACUUAUAAAGCUGAUUAAUUUACUCGUUGUUUGUAUAUAUUACACAUACAUGUUUGGUAAGAUCAUACAUUUGUACACCUGUCUUUGUUUAGUUUUCGAAAGAAAAGUAGAUACUACGAAUCAAGUUUUUUAAAGUUAAAUGUUAAUUAAGUAUUCGCUCAUACAAUAUCAUAUUUAACGACAAAUUAUUAAUAAAUUAUUAAUGAAUCAACGAGUAUCUCUUUUUUAGUAUAAUAUAAUGAGAGAUAUUUAAUAUUAUAUGUUAAAAAAAAACAAGUUAUUUUCUUUCUAAAUGUCUCACCUACUUGCGAAAUAUGUUUGAACGAAAUAAACAUGUUUGAACAAAGAAAUCAAGAGGCACGUAUCUUAAACGAAGCAGGUAAUUGUCGCGUAGCCAGACGAAAGAUACGCGAAAAUUGCGCUUCACUAUUUUGCGAGAAUAAGAGACAAUUGGUCUGCAAAUCGAUGUGGAAUUUAUUGAAGUAUUUUAAUGAAAAUAAUGCAGUGUUCUAGGUUUAGCGGAUUGCAUUUUUCACAAUCUCCGUAAAAUAUUAUAAAUAACAAAAAUCAUCGUGUUAGACUACGGCUACAAGACUAAUUAAAUACACGAACAUCGGUUUAUUUGCCGAGACUGAUGCGAACCGCAGAGCUAAGAAAUGUUUUGCGCUUUAGUGCGCACUCAUGUGUAUACAACAAAUCGAUCUUGUUAGCCGCUCACAUUGGCAGCUCGCGUGAUUAGUUAGUGAUUGGCACGUGAGACGAGCCUCCCGACGUUUCCUUAUCAGCGCUUAUUCAUGAGAUCACUAUUGACGUCGACAAAUAUAGGCAAUACGUCGCAUGAGAAUCACACGUGCUCAGGAUUACUCGUAUCAUGACCGCGAAUCCAUGGAACGCUAUUUGAUAACCCGUUUUAUUGUCGUACUUUAAUGAUCUGCGAAACAUAACUCUGGAUUGUCGCUUAUGAAUAUCUCGCUGGCAGAUGAGAUGAUUCGCGAGGCUAUAUGUAAACAUCCUUUGAUCGCAAACUUCCUUCUUUAUCGAGUGAUAAUUUUAUCGUCGUCUUAUAUCUUAUAUACGUGGAAUUAUAAUGUUUUCAAUCUUGGAGCGUUUUAGUCGCUGAUAUUUUGGUACAUGUAUAAAGUUUAAGUUUAUAUGUGAGAGUAUCUUUUGUGGCAGUGUCAUUUAAAAAACUUGAAAAUUAUAUCGCAAACUCUGCAAUCAUGAUGAGAAUUUUAUCAGGGGGAUUUCCGAGCCAGAUAUUUAUCUAUUGAAUCGAGAUAUUCGCCACAUUGAAAAUUUCGAACUUUGAACUGUAAGAAAUCCUAUCGCUAUUCAAUAAGCCUACGUGGUUAAUUAAUUAAAUUAACCGGUUGUCUCUUGUGCGAUCAUAUCAACCACUGCUCCUACUCUGAAAAGAUUCACAAGAAAGUCCACGCCGCGCCGGAAGGAAAUGUUCCGCCAUGUGCGUAGCAAGCUGAUAAAACGGUUCCUCGCGUAUUAACAGAAAAAAAAGAACAGGAAUGCGUCGUGAUGCUACACUUUCUCGUCGGCGACCCGAUAUAAGAGCGCUUUCGCCGCGGAAACUUUUUACGGCGCAGUAAAAAUUUCCGCAAACCACACCGAGGCCAUGAAGAUUUCCACAAAACACGCCAAGAUCGUCGUAAAUGCAUGUAAUUGAUAGUAUGAGUAAUCUGAUAAAAUCACGCGGCGUCGCGGCCGGCUUUAUUGCAUGAAUAAAAAACGAUUGUAAUGUUGGCGAAAAUAUAAUAACGUGGUUUUCGUUGACAAUUUUGAAGAUGUGUCAUUGUAUCGUGAAAUAUGAUUUUCAUAUAUUCACAAUUUGCGUAAAGUUUCAAUUUGGUUAAGCUUGUUUCAGUAAUCACAUGUUAAUAAGAAUAAUAAUAAGCACAUAUUUAUAAAAAUUAUAAAUUGAAAAUGAGGUAUUGUGUCCGUCACGCGGAAUAAGAAAGUACAGCAUUUAGACGACACAAAGUUCUGCCACAAAGAAAGCGUCAUUAUGCACCAUUACGAUCUUUGUAAUGAACACGUUACGCACAAUGUAUUCAGUCUCUUGAUCUCUCUUGUCAUUUGAAUUGAUGGCAAUGUUAGGAACCGGAAUUGGCGGAAGUGGAAGAGAUGAGAUCAGUAUAGCUCAUUUACUAGUAGUGGUGACCAGUUGUUGCUUGAACGUGCUAGUUUGUCGACCCGCGAACGAGGCCGCUGUGAUGGGGUCUGUAGGUCAUUCGAAGGCCCAACUGAUGACGACGAUGACGAUCACGCGUUGCGAAUAAAAACCUGCGGAGCGUCGCGAGAGUCAUUACCUCGUGAACGAAUCUUCAUGCUUGGAAUAAAUUACGAUUUCGACGUAGAGACGUGCUGCUUCUCGUGACUUUCUGCCUAGCGAUUUAACGAACUCUCGAGGCUAUCGAUUUUCUGCGAAAUCGGUUCAUGUGGAACUGGUGAUAUUCUAUAACACUCUUUGGCACGUUUCGCCAUUUCUGGGAAACGCAUACUUGACAGCAGCCUGGUUUUGUUUCAUGAAUUUCUUUCUUAUUCUUUGCUUAAUUGUGAUAUAAAGCAUAGCAGGGACAAUUAGUUUUAAAAUUAAACAAAAAGAUAUAAAUGUAGAGAUUAUCGCGGAUUAAAAUCAAACUGUUGAAAUUCGUAUCAAUCGUGUUCAUCUGUGAUAUUCUUGUCUGAUAAAUUCGACUUAUUAAUUAGUUUUGAUAAAUACUGACGUAACCGUACCGCGAAAUCGAUACUUCGGAUCGAUUAUACAUAUAUCUGGAAUAUGCUCGUGAAUUUAUUUAAUGCUAUCGCGACAGAAGUUACAGAAUCAGAGUGAUGUUAGCUUCACUUUUUAUUUGCAUAUGCUAAUAAAUUUAUCUGACAUGAUUAACAGCGAUCAAUUUUUGGACAAUGCCAUAAGUACCAUGCAAAAUUAAUUAACUUUGGUACCAUUACGAAGUUGACAAUCUCGAUCACGAUUUUAUGUCUAGUAAUUUUGUUUGUUGCGAUAAUUAUUAAUCAAUAACCAGCUUGCGUUCUUUUCCUUCGAAGGACAUUUAAAAAAACGCAAAAUACAUAAAAUACAUAAAAUAGGACAAAAUGGUUGCAAUAAUUUAUUUUCUUAUCAGAUGGACAGUUGUAAGGUGAAUCCUUUUGACGAUACGACUGGUCGACCUUGGCACUGUGAGCAGAUUUGGCGAUGUGUAUUGACAUACGGUUGCUGGUUUCGACCGCAGUAGUAAAGGAAGUAACAUUUUAUGAAAUAUGCUAAGCGUGUUCGUCUUGCAUACCGCUAUAUUGGUCAUUGCAGAUAACUAUUCAAGGUUACUUCGUAUGCACCGUACAGAUUUUACUAUAUAUAUGCCGUAUAAUAUUAUCUCGGCUAAGCUGCAGGUAAUCACACAGUGAUAACAAAAUAAAUAUUAACUGCAUUUUUGGACAUUAGAGCUUGCUCUCUUCUUCAGCUUCGUGAACAUAAAUACGACAAUUAAGGUAUUCACUUAAUGAAAUUGAUAAUGGGACAGUAGUUUGAUAUACACGUAUGACUUGCUUAUUUUCUUUGUGCUUAGGAGCGUAGCGUAUCACACCUAUUAUUUCUCGACGUGUCUUUUAUUGUGUGUAACCUUGUUCCGCGUGACAGUUUGUAAUCUUAAUAUGAACAUAUGCUGACCAACUCUCUAAAGAUAAAAAGAACAAAAAAAUACGGACAGAUCGAAAAAAAGUAUUUUGUUUAUUAUUUUUAAAUUAAAGU